CCGGCAAACGGGUGCGGAACACGUACAGAACCUUCCUUUAAGCGGGGGAUAGCCCGGAGAAAUCCGGAUUAAUACCCCAUAGUAAUGUUGGGUGGCAUCACCUGGUAUUUAAAGAUUUAUCACUUAAAGAUGGCUGUGCGGCUGAUUAGGUAGUUGGUGUGGGUAAUGGCCCACCAAGCCUUCGAUCAGUAACUGGUGUGAGAGCACGACCAGUCACACGGGCACUGAGACACGGGCCCG
rnacentral:rRNA from 1 species